CUGCAUCGUCCUCCUCCGAUGGCUCUCUCCCCCUCCUCUCCGCCCCCAGUCCUCCGCCGGUUGCCACACGCCGGAGGAAGCCAUGAUCCAUGACCAGCAGCAUGACCAUUCGAUUGGAGGAUCCCAGGGGCUACAAGAACAGUUCUGUAGAAUACAUGGCCCAAAUCUGACUGUUCGAGCAGGAAAUGCACAUCCUGGAUGUGACAUAAUUAACAUCUGAUGGAUAUCCUAAAAUCUCUUGAGCUGGAGUUUAUCUAUCUCAUCUGAAAGACUUCAAGCCCAUGUACAGUCCUCUCGGUCCCUUCAGAAGUACCAUAUAACUACAGUGUAUGUUAUGCUGAUCAGAGUGGGGCAGGGGCAUUUAGAACAUACAUAAGCAAAUUAUUGUCAGAGAUGACCCCUCCAAGACUGAUUUAUUUAAAGUGUAAAAAUUAUUUAGAACAAAUAAUUCUUCACACAAGAAUGAGCCCUGCCGGUGGCUAUUUGUCGACCUGUAUGAAAUAAUUGUUCUAUAGGGCAAGGAUUAGUUUUCUACUUCGGGACAAGCUAUCUUCGAAGAUGGCUCCAAGGUCAUCUGACCUCUUCCAUUUGAAGCCGGUCAUCUGGGCACUGGAGAGACAAUGGCAUCAAAUAUGAGCCCAGAAGAACCAUCAACCUCGAGUACCAAGUCCUUUGCUGUGUAAUAGUGGUUGCAAAAAAUCACCGCAUUUAGUUCUCAUAACCCAGUCAUUUGAGCACCAGAGACAUGGUGGAAUGAAAUAUUGGCUUGCAUGAUUCCAGGUUCCAAGCAUCUGAACAGAAUCAGAAACUUUGAAGUGGACUAACACACACAUGACAAUCAGUUUCCAGGUGAAGAAGAAGCAGUUAUUCCGGAAUUUCAUGACUAUCACAUUAUUUGGUGCUUUUGGGACAAUGAUAUCCUUCUUCACGAUAUGUUACGGUUGAUCAAAACAAUUUCUUUAGAAGUUCCCACCAGGUAGUAUAAGAUGUUGUUAUGCCAGAGGUACCCCUGCAGCUCUAAUUAACAUAACUAGAGUUGGAAACUUUCUUUAGUCACUGGCCGUUUGGAGUCCUGGCUGUAAGAACUCCAACCUGUUUGUUUUUGCAAGUCCUAUUUAUCUACGCAUACAAGAUGUUCAACAGAAAUCCAAGCAGAAUGUUCUCAUAUAUAGGUGACACUUCUGACUUCUCAUUUGCAAAAAUAUCUUGCUCUUUAUCUGAAUGGAUGGCCUUUGGCCACUUUAUCUUCGAUCGGUUUUUAUUAUCAUUGCUCAACAUUUCACGUGCCUUCUCCUAUUAGUGGUGGUGAACCAAAGAAACCAUUUAGAACUACAUAGGAGUAAAAAAAAGGAGAGGAGUGUAAAUAGUUAGGAUCGAGGCCUGAUUAUAUUGAGAUGUUAAUAAUUAAUCUUUCAGCCCGCACAACGAAGACUAAAAUGUCA